CGGAGUUCCUCUCCUGCUUUACUGCUGCUGGACUUCCUCAGGGUCCCGUUUCCAUAGCGCUUCGAUAUGCUGGCACCAGGGAACAGCAAACACAUCGUUAAAGAAACUUCUUGUGCCUGAUCCAUGGCAUUCACUCAGCGCAUUCUGGAAACAGGAUACAGAAAGCUUGUGAGCAGAAAAGGAGUUGUCUAUGCUCACCUGUGUUUAAGAGGUGAAGCAGUGGGAGCAGUUCCCACAACAAUCUCAUAAAGCCUGCUAUUUUCAGAAGAUCUGUCCAGAGGGUUGCAGUGGGCCAGAUCCUAACCUGGCAGACAUAGGGUGCAAAGCGGGACUACACUCUGGACGGGAUGCCAGUCCAUCGCAGGGCAACUAAGGGGCAAUUUAGAGAGGCCAAUCCACCUAGCCAGCAUGUCUUUGGACUGUGGGAGGAAACCGGAGUACCCGGAGAAAACCCAUGUGAACAUGGGGAGAACAUGCAAACUCCACACAGACAGACCCCUGACGCCAGAAUCGAACCCAGGAGCCUGGAGCUGUGAGGCAGCAGGGCUAACCACUGCGCCACCGUGCCGCCCCUCUUCUUAAUAAUAAUACUCAUAAUUAUAUACAGAGGAGUAGGGUUGGAAAAAUGGAAGUGCAAAUCUAAGGAGAAAAGGCUUCAGUUCCCCCCUCACAGCAUGUGCUGGAUAUCCAUGUCAGAUCUAUACUGGAGUAAAUAAUGAAGGCCUGCCAAGCACACACAAUAGAAAGCAGGACCUGCUGCCAGGAACCAGCGAGGGGACUGAAUGUUCUUUAGCAGGGCAGAUUUGGCUCGGAUCCUGUCACUCACCUCCUCACAAAUUCCAUUCCCAUCACUUAUUUUAAACCCGUAAUUGUCUUUGACAGUUCAAGCAUAGAAGACACUUGUCUUACAAUUUCAAAUCCCUUCAUAUGUUUGGGACCACAAGUGCAUGUUAUACUGUAUAUUAGCUAUUGUGAAAGUCUUCUUAUAAACCUGUGCCUUUUUAUGAGCAGAAUUUAGUCUCUGCUGCAUUCUGCUGAUCCAAUCUAUUAUUAUUAUUAAUAUUAUUAUUAUUAUUAUUAUUAUACCUCACCAAGGAUGAAAUCCCUUGCACAGGGGAUAUAGUGGAGACGGUGGUACUGAAGUGUAUGUUUCAUGUUUCUGCACAUAUCUAGCGAACUGCUUAUCCCAUUGUUGUAAAACUUAACUAUUUAGGAUACAUUAUUGAAGAUAUAAGGUUGUGGAGAUAUGUCGCCCUGGAUAAGGGCGUCUGCUAAGAAAUUAAUAAUAAUAAUAAUAAUAAUAAUAAUAAUAAUAAUAUAUAGAGGUGCAUGUCUGUCCAUUCAUCUGCCCAUCUGUAUGUUCACUUACAUUUUUGCAUGUAUCUGGGUCGCCUGUAUGCCACACAUCUGGAGAAUUACUUAUCGGAUUGUAAUUAUUGUUUUCUCAUGUUGUGCAGUAAAUAUUAGACAUUAGCAACAAGAAUCCCAUGUGUCUGCAAUUCUUUAAUCAGUGCAGUAGAGAGAACAUAGCUCCCAGUCUGAAUAAUAGUAGGAAAAUCCUUUUAGGUUAGAACAAAUUGCCAUGGAGAUGCCAGUGCACCAGAGAAGCAGUAAAGACUCAUGGAAUCUGUGUUCUGCUUAGUCUCCUUGCUCCUAAUUAAAGAGGGAGACACCAGGAGGCCCGAGACACUCAGAGAUACUCAGUGUACAUCAGCGACUCAUGGGAUCUGUGUUCUGCUUAGUCUCCUUGCUCCUAAUUAAAGAGGGAGACACCAGGAGGCCCGAGA